rnacentral:rRNA from 1 species
GAUGAACGCUGGCGGCGUGCCUAAUACAUGCAAGUCGAGCGAACAGACGAGGAGCUUGCUCCUCUGACGUUAGCGGCGGACGGGUGAGUAACACGUGGAUAACCUACCUAUAAGACUGGGAUAACUUCGGGAAACCGGAGCUAAUACCGGAUAAUAUAUUGAACCGCAUGGUUCAAUAGUGAAAGACGGUUUUGCUGUCACUUAUAGAUGGAUCCGCGCCGCAUUAGCUAGUUGGUAAGGUAACGGCUUACCAAGGCAACGAUGGUUAGCCGACCUGAGAGGGUGAUCGGCCACACUGGAACUGAGACACGGUCCAGACUCCUACGGGAGGCAGCAGUAGGGAAUCUUCCGCAAUGGGCGAAAGCUUGACGGAGCAACGCCGCGUGAGUGAUGAAGGUCUUCGGAUCGUAAAACUCUGUUAUUAGGGAAGAACAAAUGUGUAAGUAACUAUGCACGUCUUGACGGUACCUAAUCAGAAAGCCACGGCUAACUACGUG